UCCACUCUGCCCCCAAGAGGGUUUUGAGGAGAACCGUGCCACGGCUGCCCAGCUUGGAUGUGGCUCUGGCCACGGCUCCUUCGCACUGAGAAACCCAGGGCACGGCCCAAACCACGGGGGGCUCAGGCCCACCGCCCCGCUGGGCAGGCAGACCCCCCGUGCAGACUGCAGCGGCAGCGGCAGGCUUCGAAGGCCGCCUGCCCGCGUCCUCCCCAGCCUCGCCACGGCCUUCGUCACCUGCCGGUCUCACAGCGCCGGGCCCUGUGACCUCACAGGGCCCGGCAUAACAUCAGGCUGCGGCUGGGCGCAGCUGGGCACAGCUGCUAGUGCUGGUGGUCACUGCCGGAGCUCUGCUCAGCGUGACAGCCGUCUCCAGCGUUGUUGUGUUCCUGAGGAGAGAGCAGGAUGAAGCUCAGCCUGGCUCUCCUCCUGGCCGUGGCUCUGGCCAUGGCUUUGUUCCGCUCGUGCGGCCAGGGCCUCCGCAGCCAGCGCCGCUGGGAGAGGGUCAGGGUCAGCAGGAGCCUUGGCCCCAAGCGCCAGGUCUCCAACUGGCCCUGCAGCCUCGGCCUUUCCAGCUGCCCCAGCAGGCUCCGCCUCAGGCUGAACACCAUGGUCCCUAUGGUCCCUUCAGAGAGCCCAAAGCAACAGCCCGUUGGCACCGAGCGCCAGCCCUCCGAGCUGCCCGACCCCCUGGGCCAAUUCUGGGAAUACCUUGCCCAGGGCGGGAGAGUCUGGCUGCUCUGCGAUAACGGGGACGCCAUCUGCCUCCUCGGCGUGGGGCUGCUUGCCCUCGGCCUCUGGAGAACAGUACAGAGACACCGCAGACAGGCAACAGGCCGGUGGGCCUCAGCUUCUGCGGGGACAGACUGCCGGGGAAAGGACGCUCUGUGUGAUUACGCCUUGCUCUGCCGCAUGGAGGCCAACACUGCCUUCAUGGUGUGGUACCUGAGGCACCUCUACCAGCUCCGCGUGCAAGAGCUCGGGCUCCCACAGCCGAGGAAGAAGGCACUAAACGAGUAUAGGAAAAGAAGAGCCCCCUGGCGUACCCCCGGCAAAUUCAUCUAGAGCGUGCACCCCGUGUACCGGCGACAGGAAAGGCAGCGCAGAGAAUUGACAGCAAGCCGGUGAGGCAGGACACACCUCAGCCCUCCGAAGGCUCCUGCGCUGAAGGCACCCCCCCUGACAACUGGAUGCCAACACUGCCCUGAUCACCUCCUCCCUGCAUGGGCGCCACCGACAAUGCCAGCUGUCCCCUGGUGGGCUGCCCGUG
rnacentral:lncRNA from 1 species